GACGAACGCUGGCGGCGUGCUUAACACAUGCAAGUCGAACGGAAAGGCCCUGCUUUUGUGGGGUGCUCGAGUGGCGAACGGGUGAGUAACACGUGAGUAACCUGCCCUUGACUUUGGGAUAACUUCAGGAAACUGGGGCUAAUACCGGAUAGGAGCUCCUGCUGCAUGGUGGGGGUUGGAAAGUUUCGGCGGUUGGGGAUGGACUCGCGGCUUAUCAGCUUGUUGGUGGGGUAGUGGCUUACCAAGGCUUUGACGGGUAGCCGGCCUGAGAGGGUGACCGGCCACAUUGGGACUGAGAUACGGCCCAGACUCCUACGGGGGGCAGCAGUGGGGAAUAUUGCCCAAUGGGCGGAAGCCUGAUGCAGCAACGCCGCGUUCGGGAUGACGGCCUUCGGGUUGUAAACCGCUUUCGCCUGUGACGAAGCGUGAGUGACGGUAAUGGGUAAAGAAGCACCGGCUAACUACGUG
rnacentral:rRNA from 1 species